rnacentral:rRNA from 1 species
UACGUAAGUGGCGAGCGUUAUCCGGAAUUACUGGGCGUAAAGCGUGCGUAGGCGGUUUAGUGUGUGGGAUUUGAAAGCCCGGGGCUCAACUCCGGAUCCGGAUCCCAAACUGCUAGACUCGAGAGUAUCAGAGGAGAGCGGGAAUUCCCGGUGUAGCGGUAAUAUGCGUAGAUAUCGGGAGGAACACCAGUGGCGAAGGCGG